UUGUUUAUUUUGUUUUUAGUUUCUGGGGUCCCCGUGCUUCUGGAAGGUGAAGCGGGAGGGAGUGACCCCCGCACCCCUCAGUCCCCCUACGACGUCGCCUCCAUAGCCUGCGGAGAAGCGGGGACCGCGCGCAUCGCCUCGCCUCACAGCGGAACGCCGCGCACUCGGAGCCGGCACAGCUCGGCGGGUUUUGGUUUUUUGCACUGAAUGUAACCUAGAUUCAUCCGCACGGGCUUGUGUUGCCCCAGGAUACUGUCAAAGGCAAUAUUUGUGAGUUUCUGCAGAGUUUUGCACAGUCUGUUCCCAUGCAAACCAAUGAGGGAGAAGUAUCGGAAGAAAGCAGUUCCAAGGUGGAACAGGAGGAUUUUGUAAUGGAAGGGCAUGGCAAGACUCCACCUCCUGGUGAAGAAAGCAAACAGU